AUUGAACGCUGGCGGCAGGCCUAACACAUGCAAGUCGAACGAGAGGCGGACGGGUGAGUAAUGUCUGGGAAACUGCGCGAUGGAGGGGGAUAACUACUGGAACCGGUAGCAAAUACCGCAUACGAUCGGAUGUGCCCAGAUGGGAUUAGCUAGUAGGUGGGGUAACGGGUCACCUAGGCGACGAUCCCUAGCUGGUCUGAGAGGAUGACCAGCCACACUGGGACGGAGACACGGUCCAGACUCCUACGGGAGGCAGCAGUGGGGAAUAUUGCACAAUGGGCGCAAGCCUGAUGCAGCCAUGCCGCGUGUAUGAAGAAGGCCUUCGGGUUGUAAAGUACUUUCGGCGGGGAGGCGGUACUCGCAGAAGAAGCACCGGCUAACUCCGUGCCAGCAGCCGCGGUAAUUC
rnacentral:rRNA from 1 species